UAAGGAAUAUUGGUCAAUGGACGAAAGUCUGAACCAGCCAUGCCGCGUGGAGGAUGAAGGUCCUCUGGAUUGUAAACUUCUUUUAUAUGGGACGAAAAAAGGGUUUUCUAACUCGUCUGACGGUACCAUAUGAAUAAGCACCGGCUAACUCCGUGCCAGCAGCCGCGGUAAUACGGAGGGUGCAAGCGUUAUCCGGAUUCACUGGGUUUAAAGGGUGCGUAGGUGGGUUGGUAAGUCAGUGGUGAAAUCUCCGAGCUUAACUUGGAAACUGCCAUUGAUACUAUCAGUCUUGAAUACCGUGGAGGUCAGCGGAAUAUGUCAUGUAGCGGUGAAAUGCUUAGAUAUGACAUAGAACACCAAUUGCGAAGGCAGCUGGCUACUCGGAUAUUGACACUGAGGCACGAAAGCGUGGGGAUCAAACAGGAUUAGAUACCCUGGUAGUCCACGCCCUAAACUAUGGAUACUCGACAUUUGCGAUACACAGUAAGUGUCUGAGCGAAAGCAUUAAGUWUCCCMCCUG
rnacentral:rRNA from 1 species